GGAAUCUUUCAUCUAUUAUUCACAACAAAAACAUCAUAAAGGGGGCCCGCAGGGCAAGACCCAUCUUCUUCUUCACAAUUUCAUAGACCAAAUACAUCACUCACAAAAAUAAAAUAGAGAGAGAUCACCAUUACACAACCUCCAUUUUUCAUUCAAUAGACUCACUCAUUAUAUAGGCACAAACGCUCACCGAUACACCACUCAUCACGACCAUGGAUUGAAUUCUCAACACACAGCUAUAGAAAUAGAUGCUAAGGAGGAGGAGAGAAGGGAUUUGAUAAAAAAAAUUGGUUCUCCUUCACAACCCGCACACACAGACACACCGAAUCACGCACACACUCCUUAUGAUACACUGAUUCAUAUGCAUAAUUGGAGAUGACCGAAAGAGGAGUGAUGAGGGUUGAGGGAGAAACAUAAAUUAGGCAUUUGUGUUACUGUUCCGGCGACGGUCUCACCAGAAAAGCUUUGUUACUGCAUCGUUCAAGGUUUGUAUUUGUGUCAAUCGAGUCCGUCGAGCUCCGGUGUAGCUAACUCAUAAACCAAAACACGAUUCUAUCAUCUCGAGUGCACUGUCCGAUCAAUUUCGAACGGAAAAUAGUCCUUUAUAUCGAUCCUUAUUAUCCGUUCAAUAUGGGGGUUCCGUCUCUCGUCGAAUUGUUUAGGUUUAGGCUUAUUAUUACUCUUGGGUAUUGAGAUUGGAAUUUCUUUAUUGGGAUUUCUGUUCAGAGGUUUGUUAUUUUCGUUCAAAAUUAUUGAUUCGGGGGGUAUAUUGAGUGGUGUUGCUACUUUCGAAUUUCUUCGGAAUGGGAUUUGCAAUAUCGAGCUGGUGUUAAUCAUUUUGAGGCUUUUGGUUGAGGAUUUCAGACUUCAGCUUUCAUCGAUUCAUUAUUAUCAGUGAAAAAUCUACUCUUUUGAGGGAAUGCCCCAACGCAUUAUGUUGGCGGAAGAUGUUCGUGAUCAAGAUCCAGGACACCGGGUGGAGCGUAGUUUAGGAUUAGUGUAGGUUUACAUUUCAGUUCCUUCUAUUUUGGGUUUGUAAUAAUUGGACUGAACAUUAACUUUUGGA